rnacentral:rRNA from 1 species
AACGAACGCUGGCGGCAUGCCUAACACAUGCAAGUCGAACGAGACCUUCGGGUCUAGUGGCGCACGGGUGCGUAACGCGUGGGAAUCUGCCCUUGGGUUCGGAAUAACACAGAGAAAUUUGUGCUAAUACCGGAUGAUGACGAAAGUCCAAAGAUUUAUCGCCCAAGGAUGAGCCCGCGUAGGAUUAGGUAGUUGGUGGGGUAAAGGCCCACCAAGCCGACGAUCCUUAGCUGGUCUGAGAGGAUGAUCAGCCACACUGGGACUGAGACACGGCCCAGACUCCUACGGGAGGCAGCAGUGGGGAAUAUUGGACAAUGGGCGAAAGCCUGAUCCAGCAAUGCCGCGUGAGUGAUGAAGGCCUUAGGGUUGUAAAGCUCUUUUACCAGGGAUGAUAAUGACAGUACCUGGAGAAUAAGCUCCGGCUAACUCCGUGCCAGCAGCCGCGGUAAU